GCCCUCGUAGCUCAGAUGGACAGAGCGCCGGACUUCUAAUCCGAUGGUCGCAGGUUCGAAUCCUGCCGGGGGCA
rnacentral:tRNA from 1 species